rnacentral:rRNA from 1 species
GUGCCUAAUACAUGCAAGUCGAGCGAGCUUGCCUAGAUGAAUUUGGUGCUUGCACCAAAUGAAACUAGAUACAAGCGAGCGGCGGACGGGUGAGUAACACGUGGGUAACCUGCCCAAGAGACUGGGAUAACACCUGGAAACAGAUGCUAAUACCGGAUAACAACACUAGACGCAUGUCUAGAGUUUAAAAGAUGGUUCUGCUAUCACUCUUGGAUGGACCUGCGGUGCAUUAGCUAGUUGGUAAGGUAAYGGCUUACCAAGGCAAUGAUGCAUAGCCGAGUUGAGAGACUGAUCGGCCACAUUGGGACUGAGACACGGCCCAAACUCCUACGGGAGGCAGCAGUAGGGAAUCUUCCACAAUGGACGCAAGUCUGAUGGAGCAACGCCGCGUGAGUGAAGAAGGGUUUCGGCUCGUAAAGCUCUGUUGGUAGUGAAGAAAGAUAGAGGUAGUAACUGGCCUUUAUUUGACGGUAAUUACUUAGAAAGUCACGGCUAACUACGUGCCAGCAGCCGCGGUAAUACGUAGGUGGCAAGCGUUGUCCGGAUU